AUUUAGAUGAUAAAAUACUAGGGCUAAGGAUACUAUAUUCUUAUGAUUAGAGAUUUUUGUACUUAUAAAUUUUUUAUCGUUGAAUAAAAGAAUACGUGGUUAGAAUGAUAGUGGUCCCUGAUUAGGAUUAUAAUGAUUUUCUAGGGUUAAGUGGGUGAUUGGUUAAAUAAUAUGAUCUAACGGAUAAAAAUAAUAAAAUGUGUCGAAAAAUUAUAAGUACAAAGAGAUCUAUACUUAAAGUAUAAUAGCCGGACUCAAAAUGCUGGUAGCU
rnacentral:lncRNA from 1 species